rnacentral:tRNA from 1 species
AGCUCAGUUGGUUAGAGCAGACGGCUCAUAACCGUCCGGUCGUAGGUUCGAGUCCUACAAGGUA